AGAAUAAUCUCGGGAAACUGGGCAUAAUUCUUGAUAGAUCAUAAUGCCUGGAAUGGUUUAUGGUUAAAAUGAUUCGUCGCCAUAGGAUGGGACUGCGGCCUAUCAGCUUGUUGGUGAGGUAAUGGCCCACCAAGGCGAUUACAGGUACGGGCUCUGAGAGGAGAAGCCCGGAGAUGGGUACUGAGACACGGACCCAGGCCCUAUGGGGCGCAGCAGGCGAGAAAACUUUGCAAUGUGCGAAAGCACGACAAGGUUAAUCCGAGUGAUUUCUGCUAAAGAAAUCUUUUGCCAGUCAUAAAACCACUGGUGAAUAAGGGGUGGGCAAGUUCUGGUGUCAGCCGCCGCGGUAAAACCAGCACCUCAAGUGGUCAGGAUGAUUAUUGGGCCUAAAGCAUCCGUAGCCGGCUUUGUAAGUUUUCGGUUAAAUCCAUGUGCUCAACGCAUGGGCUGCCGAAAAUACUGCAUGGCUAGGGAGUGGGAGAGGUAGACGGUACUCAGUAGGAAGGGGUAAAAUCCUUUGAUCUAUUGAUGACCACCUGUGGCGAAGGCGGUCUACCAGAACACGUUCGACGGUGAGGGAUGAAAGCUGGGGGAGCAAACCGGAUUAGAUACCCGGGUAGUCCCAGCUGUAAACGAUGCAGACUCGAUGAUGCAUUGGCAUAAUAGCCAGUGCAGUGUCGCAGGGAAGCCGUUAAGUCUGCCGCCUGGGAAGUACGUACGCAAGUAUGAAACUUAAAGGAAUUGGCGGGGGAGCACCACAAGGGGUGAAGCCUGCGGUUCA
rnacentral:rRNA from 1 species